UCCAGACUCCUACGGGAGGCAGCAGUGGGGGAUAUUGCACAAUGGGGGAAACCCUGAUGCAGCGACGCCGCGUGAGGGAAGACGGUUUUCGGAUUGUAAACCUCUGUCUUUGGGGACGAAUUGAGACGGUACCCAAGGAGGAAGCUCCGGCUAACUACGUGCCAGCAGCCGCGGUAAUACGUAGGGAGCAAGCGUUGUCCGGAAUUACUGGGUGUAAAGGGAGCGUAGGCGGGAUAGUAAGUUGAUUGUUAAAACUAUCGGCUCAACUGGUAGAUGCGAUCAAAACUGCAAUUCUUGAGUGAAGUAGAGGCAGGCGGAAUUCCUAGUGUAGCGGUGAAAUGCGUAGAUAUCAGGAGGAACACCGGCGGCGAAGGCGGCCUGCUGGACCGUGACUGACGUUGAGGCUCGAGAGCGUGGGGAGCAAGCAGGAUUAGAUACCCGCGUAACU
rnacentral:rRNA from 1 species